rnacentral:rRNA from 1 species
UACGUAGGGUGCGAGCGUUAAUCGGAAUUACUGGGCGUAAAGCGUGCGCAGGCGGUCUGUUAAGACCGAUGUGAAAUCCCCGGGCUUAACCUGGGAACUGCAUUGGUGACUGGCAGGCUUUGAGUGUGGCAGAGGGGGGUAGAAUUCCACGUGUAGCAGUGAAAUGCGUAGAGAUGUGGAGGAAUACCGAUGGCGAAGGCAGCCCCCUGGGCCAACACUGACGCUCAUGCACGAAGCGUGGGAGCAAACAGG